rnacentral:rRNA from 1 species
UUGAGUGGCGAACGGGUGAGUAACACGUGGGCAACCUGCCCAAAAGAGGGGGAGUAACACUUGGAAACGGGUGCUAAUACCGCAUAACCAUAGUUACCGCAUGGUAACUAUGUAAAAGGUGGCUAUACUACCGCUUUUGGAUGGGCCCGCGGCGCAUUAGCUAGUUGGUAGGGUAAAGGCUUACCAAGGCAAUGAUGCGUAGCCGAAUUGAGAGGUUGAUCGGCCACAUUGGGACUGAGACACGGCCCAAACUCCUACGGGAGGCAGCAG